AAAAAAAAAAAAGCAAAAAAGAAAUGAAGACUUUUUUGGUUUUGUAAUUUAUGUUCUUGAUUUUGUUCCAAUGGGUGCUCUUUAAUUCAGAGGUGUCGUUAUUAUGCCUCAAAUUGGAAGAAUUUCAAACGAUCAGAAGGGUCCCCCCUUUUUUGUUGUUAUUAAGAAAUUGUAUUCUGGAUUAAUUGAAAGUGGUUAUUUUUUUUUAGCUUU
rnacentral:misc_RNA from 1 species